rnacentral:tRNA from 1 species
GCUCCUUUAGUCUAGUGGACAUGGCAUCUGCCCUUUAGGCGGAACACUGUGGGUUCGAUUCCCAUCCCUGGACACU